rnacentral:rRNA from 1 species
AUACUGCAGUCGAGCGGACAGAUGGGAGCUUGCUCCCUGAUGUUAGCGGCGGACGGGUGAGUAACACGUGGGUAACCUGCCUGUAAGACUGGGAUAACUCCGGGAAACCGGGGCUAAUACCGGAUGGUUGUUUGAACCGCAUGGUUCAAACAUAAAAGGUGGCUUCGGCUACCACUUACAGAUGGACCCGCGGCGCAUUAGCUAGUUGGUGAGGUAACGGCUCACCAAGGCAACGAUGCGUAGCCGACCUGAGAGGGUGAUCGGCCACACUGGGACUGAGACACGGCCCAGACUCCUACGGGAGGCAGCAGUAGGGAAUCUUCCGCAAUGGACGAAAGUCUGACGGAGCAACGCCGCGUGAGUGAUGAAGGUUUUCGGAUCGUAAAGCUCUGUUGUUAGGGAAGAACAAGUACCGUUCGAAUAGGGCGGUACCUUGACGGUACCUAACCAGAAAGCCACGGCUAACUACGUGCCAGCAGCCGCGGUAAUACGUAGGUGGCAAGCGUUGUCCGGAAUUAUUGGGCGUAAAGGGCUCGCAGGCGGUUUCUUAAGUCUGAUGUGAAAGCCCCCGGCUCAACCGGGGAGGGUCAUUGGAAACUGGGGAACUUGAGUGCAGAAGAGGAGAGUGGAAUUCCACGUGUAGCGGUGAAAUGCGUAGAGAUGUGGAGGAACACCAGUGGCGAAGGCGACUCUCUGGUCUGUAACUGACGCUGAGGAGCGAAAGCGUGGGGAGCGACAGCUGCGCGU